GCCAGGCACGGUGGCUCAUGCCUGUAAUCCCAGCACUUUGGGAGGCUGAGGCGGGUAGAUCACUUGAGGUCAGGAGUUCGAGACCAGUCUGGCCAACAUAGUGAAACCCCGUCUCUACCAAAAAUACAAAAAUCAGCUGGGUGUAGUGGUGCAUGCCUGUAAUCCCAGCUACUCGGGAGACUGAGGCAGGAGAAUCACCUAAACCCGGGAAAUGAAGGUUACAGUAAGCCAAGGUCGUGCCACUGCACUCCAGCCUGGACAACAGAGUGAGAUUCUGUCUCA
ensembl:misc_RNA Metazoa_SRP Metazoan signal recognition particle RNA